rnacentral:tRNA from 1 species
GGCCGCCUGGUGUAGUUGGUUAUCACGCAUCCUUCACAAGGCAGUUAACUCUGCAGUAGACGGAUGAGGUCUUGAGUUCGAACCUCAAGGUGGUCA